rnacentral:miRNA from 1 species
CGCUGGUGCGCAUGCGCCACCUGCUGAGCUGAGGUCCAGGAGGCGGUGGGGGGCGUGGGUCAAGGA